rnacentral:lncRNA from 1 species
CCGUCGCCGAUUUACGUCGAGCGCCUACGCCUAGUCACUCUGCCAGGUCACAUAGCGACAGGGGGACCAUCCAACUGACCAUUGGAAGGAACCCGCCGGACCGCCAAAUGCUUCUGCGCGUCCUCAUGAGCCCUGACGUCACCAGCCGGAGCGCCCGUCGCCGAUUUACGUCGAGCGCCUACGCCUAGUCACUCUGCCAGGUCACAUAGCGACAGGGGGACCAUCCAACUGACCAUUGGAAGGAACCCGCCGGACCGCCAAAUGCUUCUGCGCGUCCUCAUGAGCCCUGACGUCACCAGCCGGAGCGCCCGUCGCCGAUUUACGUCGAGCGCCUACGCCUAGUCACUCUGCCAGGUCACAUAGCGACAGGGGGACCAUCCAACUGACCAUUGGAAGGAACCCGCCGGACCGCCAAAUGCUUCUGCGCGUCCUCAUGAGCCCUGACGUCACCAGCCGGAGCGCCCGUCGCCGAUUUACGUCGAGCGCCUACGCCUAGUCACUCUGCCAGGUCACAUAGCGACAGGGGGACCAUCCAACUGACCAUUGGAAGGAACCCGCCGGACCGCCAAAUGCUUCUGCGCGUCCUCAUGAGCCCUGACGUCACCAGCCGGAGCGCCCGUCGCCGAUUUACGUCGAGCGCCUACGCCUAGUCACUCUGCCAGGUCACAUAGCGACAGGGGGACCAUCCAACUGACCAUUGGAAGGAACCCGCCGGACCGCCAAAUGCUUCUGCGCGUCCUCAUGAGCCCUGACGUCACCAGCCGGAGCGCCCGUCGCCGAUUUACGUCGAGCGCCUACGCCUAGUCACUCUGCCAGGUCACAUAGCGACAGGGGGACCAUCCAACUGA